GAUGAACGCUGGCGGCGUGCCUAAUACAUGCAAGUCGAGCGAACAGACGAGGAGCUUGCUCCUCUGACGUUAGCGGCGGACGGGUGAGUAACACGUGGAUAACCUACCUAUAAGACUGGGAUAACUUCGGGAAACCGGAGCUAAUACCGGAUAAUAUAUUGAACCGCAUGGUUCAAUAGUGAAAGACGGUUUUGCUGUCACUUAUAGAUCGAUCCGCGCCGCAUUAGCUAGUUGGUAAGGUAACGGCUUACCAAGGCGACGAUGCGUAGCCGACCUGAGAGGGUGAUCGGCCACACUGGAACUGAGACACGGUCCAGACUCCUACGGGAGGCAGCAGUAGGGAAUCUUCCGCAAUGGGCGAAAGCUUGACGGAGCAACGCCGCGUGAGUGAUGAAGGUCUUCGGAUCGUAAAACUCUGUUAUUAGGGAAGAACAAAUGUGUAAGUAACUAUGCACGUCUUGACGGUACCUAAUCAGAAAGCCACGGCUAACUACGUG
rnacentral:rRNA from 1 species